GACGUAGGGGGCGAGCGUUGUCCGGAUUCACUGGGCGUAAAGCGCGCGUAGGCGGCUCGUUAAGUCGGAUGUGAAAACCCGGGGCUCAACCCCGGGCCUGCACCCGAUACUGGCGAGCUGGAGGCAGGUAGGGGAGAUCGGAAUUCCCGGUGUAGCGGUGAAAUGCGUAGAUAUUGGGAGGAACACCAGUGGCGAAGGCGGCUCACUGGACCGGAACUGACGCUGAGGAGCGAAAGCGUGGGGAGCGAACAGG
rnacentral:rRNA from 1 species